rnacentral:rRNA from 1 species
UGGGGAAUAUUGCACAAUGGGCGCAAGCCUGAUGCAGCCAUGCCGCGUGUAUGAAGAAGGCCUUCGGGUUGUAAAGUACUUUCAGCGAGGAGGAAGGCGUUGUGGUUAAUAACCGCAACGAUUGACGUUACUCGCAGAAGAAGCACCGGCUAACUCCGUGCCAGCAGCCGCGGUAAUACGGAGGGUGCAAGCGUUAAUCGGAAUUACUGGGCGUAAAGCGCACGCAGGCGGUCUGUCAAGUCGGAUGUGAAAUCCCCGGGCUCAACAUGGGAACUGCAUCCGAAACUGGCAGGCUAGAGUCUUGUAGAGGGGGGUAGAAUUCCAGGUGUAGCGGUGAAAUGCGUAGAGAUCUGGAGGAAUACCGGUGGCGAAGGCGGCCCCCUGGACAAAGACUGACGCUCAGGUGCGAAAGCGUGGGGAGCAAACA